GGACGAACGCUGGCGGCGUGGAUUAGGCAUGCAAGUCGAACGGUAUGGUGCUUUCGGGCAUCAGAGAGUGGCGAACGGGUGAGUAACACGUAGGUGAUCUACCCUCAAGACGGGGACAACCCAGGGAAACUUGGGCUAAUACCGGAUGAUAGCAGCAGUGAUGUUGUUUAAAAGAUGGCUUUCGGGCUGUCGUUUGGGGAUGAGCCUGCGUCCUAUUAGCUAGUUGGUGAGGUAAGGGCUCACCAAGGCGACGAUCAGUAGCCGGCCUGAGAGGGUGAACGGCCACACUGGAACUGAGACACGGUCCAGACUCCUACGGGAGGCAGCAGUGGGGAAUAUUGCACAAUGGAGGGAACUCUGAUGCAGCGACGCCGCGUGAGUGAAGAAGGUCUUCGGAUCGUAAAACUCUGUCCUUGGUGAAGAAAAGGACGGUAGCCAAGGAGGAAGCCCCGGCUAACUACGUGCCAGCAGCCGCGGUAAUACGUAGGGGGCGAGCGUUGUCCGGAUUUACUGGGCGUAAAGGGUGAGUAGGCGGUUAUAUAUGUCAGGUGUAAAAAGCUAUGGCUUAACCAUAGUAAGCACUUGAAACUGUAUGACUUGAGUGCAGGAGAGGUAAGCGGAAUUCCUAGUGUAGCGGUGAAAUGCGUAGAUAUUAGGAGGAACACCGGUGGCGAAGGCGGCUUACUGGACUGUAACUGACGCUGAGUCACGAAAGCGUGGGUAGCAAACAGGAUUAGAUACCCUGGUAGUCCACGCUGUAAACGAUGAGUGCUAGGUGUUGGGUAGCGAUAUUCAGUGCCGGAGUAAACACAAUAAGCACUCCGCCUGGGGAGUACGGUCGCAAGACUGAAACUCAAAGGAAUUGACGGGGACCCGCACAAGCAGCGGAGCAUGUGGUUUAAUUCGAAGCAACGCGAAGAACCUUACCAAGGCUUGACAUCCCCUUGACAGAUGCAGAGAUGUAUCCUCCUCUUUUGAGGCAAGGGAGACAGGUGGUGCAUGGUUGUCGUCAGCUCGUGUCGUGAGAUGUUGGGUUAAGUCCCGCAACGAGCGCAACCCUUAUCCUUAGUUGCCAGCAUUUAAGGUGGGCACUCUAAGGAGACUGCCGGUGAUAAACCGGAGGAAGGUGGGGAUGACGUCAAAUCAUCAUGCCCCUUAUGUCUUGGGCUACACACGUGCUACAAUGGUCGGUACAACGGGCAGCUAUGGAGCGAUCCGGAGCAAAUCCCAAUAAACCGAUCCCAGUUCGGAUUGCAGGCUGCAACUCGCCUGCAUGAAGUCGGAGUUGCUAGUAAUCGCGAAUCAGAACGUCGCGGUGAAUGCGUUCCCGGGUCU
rnacentral:rRNA from 1 species